AAUUAGGAUAAUAACACUUACAAGGCUAUUGAGAAAUGAGUUAAAUUAUGCACAGUAGUGCCUGGCAUUAGGAAGAGCUCAGUCCAUGUUACCUUCACGGUGUUGUUACUCACAGAGUUUUUGACGUUGAGAACUAUGUGAGUUUUUAGGCCAGGUUUUUCUUUUUUUUUAAGUGAAGAGAACUGUGAGACUGAGGCUCAGGAAGGCUAAAUGCCUCCCUCACAGUCACACAGCUGCAUGGGACGAGCCAGUACAACUAUCUAGGUCUCCAGACUCACAGCCCAGUGUCUUUCUAGUGCCUCUGCUGCUGACUUUCUUGCAGAGGAGAAUACAUGCAAGGAAUGAAGCAGAAAGGUCAAGCCUUUAUUAUUGCCCUGAAGUUGUGUAGCUCAAGACAGCGGUGCUUGUGGUUGGCUCUUUAGCUUGGUUGAUCUUGAGCUAAAAGGAGCAUGUCCUCUGGCAGUUUUUGGUGGUGGACUUCAGGGACCAGGCUAGCUGGCUUGAGAUUCUCCCUCCAAGUGUCCAUCCUGAGCAGGCCUUUCCUAACUGCACAUCCCUGCUGAUUUUCAAGGACGAGUGAGCAGACAUCUUCCUGGCACUGGCUCUCUGGGAAAAGCCCUGGGGUUGCCUGGAAACAGAGGUCAUGGAGCUCUUUGAGAAACCCAUACAAGGCUUUUAGGGAGAAGUUGGCUCAGAAAAGCAGCCUGGACGCCGCCUACCCCAAUCCCCUCCCCAGGGUAAGAACUGGAACAGCAGAUAUACCUGUGGGGGAGAGCAGUGGGCAUGAAGUCCUUCUACCCAGCCACCCUGAUCACUGCAAACAAUGGACCCUGCCCAUGCCCAGAGGUCUCCUGGCUGUCCCGGGCUGGCUGGUGACUGCGGGAGCUACUGCUGCAUUGGAGGAAUGUGGUUGCUGUUCUUCAGAACAUUUUGCCAAAAUUACCUGGUAGUAACACCCAGGGGAGCCUUUGGAAGUGACCCCUUGUCAAUGGGACAGGUUGCAGACCCCAUGCAACCUCACUGAGCCCAGAGAUGAUGAGUUCGAAUAACUGCGGUGAACAAAAAGCACGGGUCUGCAAAGUCUUUCAGCCAACUUGGGAGGGACUGCCCUUUUCUCUCUUUACUCCCUCACACUGGAGGAGAUGGCACCUAGAAGAGGAGGGGCCAGGGCAUGUUUCUAGAGCUAGAGGUCAGGCCAGACUUCUCCUUCAAGCUUGUGAACUUGAGCUGCAGUGCAGGACUGAGAGGAAAGGGGAGAAGAUGUGUGAAUUAGAUGUGAGAAUGAAGUUGUAAUAUGGACAGAUUACAUGGAAGACAGACAAAGAGGGACUGUGGGUUCAGAUAGAGAAGGCAGUCUUAGGAAGGGGAGGUACCAGGCC
ensembl:lncRNA